CCCCGCGUGGAGUGAUGAAGGUUUUCGGAUCGUAAAGCUCUGUUGUUAGGGAAGAACAAGUACCGUUCGAAUAGGGCGGUACCUUGACGGUACCUAACCAGAAAGCCACGGCUAACUACGUGCCAGCAGCCGCGGUAAUACGUAGGUGGCAAGCGUUGUCCGGAAUUAUUGGGCGUAAAGGGCUCGCAGGCGGUUUCUUAAGUCUGAUGUGAAAGCCCCCGGCUCAACCGGGGAGGGUCAUUGGAAACUGGGGAACUUGAGUGCAGAAGAGGAGAGUGGAAUUCCACGUGUAGCGGUGAAAUGCGUAGAGAUGUGGAGGAACACCAGUGGCGAAGGCGACUCUCUGGUCUGUAACUGACGCUGAGGAGCGAAAGCGUGGGGAGCGAACAGGAUUAGAUACCCUGGUAGUCCACGCCGUAAACGAUGAGUGCUAAGUGUUAGGGGGUUUCCGCCCCUUAGUGCUGCAGCUAACGCAUUAAGCACUCCGCCCGGGGGGAGAAA
rnacentral:rRNA from 1 species